rnacentral:lncRNA from 1 species
CAGGCAAUCCCACCUAUAAAUACACCCUUCACCUAUUCAUUCAACACACCAUUCAUUUCCCACACAUCUCUCUUUCACUCACAUUCUCUUAUUUGUUUCCCAUUUUUCCCUUCUUCUUUCCUUUGUUGAUUUCCCUCUUGGAAAAGAGUCUUUCAACCACCUUGGGUAGCAGCAUUCAAGUGCUUAUAGAAGCCUCAAUUCAAC